rnacentral:rRNA from 1 species
UACGUAGGGGGCAAGCGUUGUCCGGAUUUAUUGGGCGUAAAGAGCGUGUAGGCGGCCAAGCAGGUCCGCUGUGAAAACUCGAGGCUCAACCUCGAGACGUCGGUGGAAACCGUUUGGCUAGAGUCCGGAAGAGGAGAGUGGAAUUCCUGGUGUAGCGGUGAAAUGCGUAGAUAUCAGGAGGAACACCGGCGGUGUAGACGGCUCUCUGGACCGUAACUGACGCUGAGAUACGAAAGCGUGGGUAGCAAACAGG